GCUACAGGCUUAACACAUGCAAGUCGAGGGGCAGCAUGGUCUUAGCUUGCUAAGGCCGAUGGCGACCGGCGCACGGGUGAGUAACACGUAUCCAACCUGCCGUCUACUCUUGGACAGCCUUCUGAAAGGAAGAUUAAUACAAGAUGGCAUCAUGAGUCCGCAUGUUCACAUGAUUAAAGGUAUUCCGGUAGACGAUGGGGAUGCGUUCCAUUAGAUAGUAGGCGGGGUAACGGCCCACCUAGUCUUCGAUGGAUAGGGGUUCUGAGAGGAAGGUCCCCCACAUUGGAACUGAGACACGGUCCAAACUCCUACGGGAGGCAGCAGUGAGGAAUAUUGGUCAAUGGGCGAGAGCCUGAACCAGCCAAGUAGCGUGAAGGAUGACUGCCCUAUGGGUUGUAAACUUCUUUUAUAAAGGAAUAAAGUCGGGUAUGGAUACCCGUUUGCAUGUACUUUAUGAAUAAGGAUCGGCUAACUCCGUGCCAGCAGCCGCGGUAAUACGGAGGAUCCGAGCGUUAUCCGGAUUUAUUGGGUUUAAAGGGAGCGUAGAUGGAUGUUUAAGUCAGUUGUGAAAGUUUGCGGCUCAACCGUAAAAUUGCAGUUGAUACUGGAUAUCUUGAGUGCAGUUGAGGCAGGCGGAAUUCGUGGUGUAGCGGUGAAAUGCUUAGAUAUCACGAAGAACUCCGAUUGCGAAGGCAGCCUGCUAAGCUGCAACUGACAUUGAGGCUCGAAAGUGUGGGUAUCGAACAGGAUUAGAUACCCUGGUAGUCCACACGGUAAACGAUGAAUACUCGCUGUUUGCGAUAUACAGCAAGCGGCCAAGCGAAAGCGUUAAGUAUUCCACCUGGGGAGUACGCCGGCGACGGUGAAACUCAAAGGAAUUGACGGGGGCCCGCACAAGCGGAGGAACAUGUGGUUUAAUUCGAUGAUACGCGAGGAACCUUACCCGGGCUUAAAUUGCAGAUGAAUUACGGUGAAAGCCGUAAGCCGCAAGGCAUCUGUGAAGGUGCUGCAUGGUUGUCGUCAGCUCGUGCCGUGAGGUGUCGGCUUAAGUGCCAUAACGAGCGCAACCCUUGUUGUCAGUUACUAACAGGUUCCGCUGAGGACUCUGACAAGACUGCCAUCGUAAGAUGUGAGGAAGGUGGGGAUGACGUCAAAUCAGCACGGCCCUUACGUCCGGGGCUACACACGUGUUACAAUGGGGGGUACAGAGGGCCGCUACCACGCGAGUGGAUGCCAAUCCCCAAAACCUCUCUCAGUUCGGACUGGAGUCUGCAACCCGACUCCACGAAGCUGGAUUCGCUAGUAAUCGCGCAUCAGCCACGGCGCGGUGAAUACGUUCCCGGGCCUUGUACACACCGCCCGUCAAGCCAUGGGAGCCGGGGGUACCUGAAGUGCGUAACCGCGAGGAGCGCCCUAGGGUAAAACUGGUGACUGGGGCUAAGUCAUAACA
rnacentral:rRNA from 1 species